rnacentral:rRNA from 1 species
CGGGUAGAGAUCUUUCGGGAUCUUGAGAGCGGCGUACGGGUGCGGAACACGUGUGCAACCUGCCUUUAUCUGGGGGAUAGCCUUUCGAAAGGAAGAUUAAUACCCCAUAAUAUAUUGAAUGGCAUCAUUUGAUAUUGAAAACUCCGGUGGAUAGAGAUGGGCACGCGCAAGAUUAGAUAGUUGGUGAGGUAACGGCUCACCAAGUCAGCGAUCUUUAGGGGGCCUGAGAGGGUGAUCCCCCACACUGGUACUGAGACACGGACCAGACUCCUACGGGAGGCAGCAGUGAGGAAUAUUGGACAAUGGGUGAGAGCCUGAUCCAGCCAUCCCGCGUGAAGGACGACGGCCCUAUGGGUUGUAAACUUCUUUUGUAUAGGGAUAAACCUACCCUCGUGAGGGUAGCUGAAGGUACUAUACGAAUAAGCACCGGCUAACUCCGUGCCAGCAGCCGCGGUAAUACGGAGGGUGCAAGCGUUAUCCGGAUUUAUUGGGUUUAAAGGGUCCGUAGGCUGAUUUGUAAGUCAGUGGUGAAAUCUCACAGCUUAACUGUGAAACUGCCAUUGAUACUGCAAGUCUUGAGUGUUGUUGAAGUAGCUGGAAUAAGUAGUGUAGCGGUGAAAUGCAUAGAUAUUACUUAGAACACCAAUUGCGAAGGCAGGUUACUAAGCAACAACUGACGCUGAUGGACGAAAGCGUGGGGAGCGAACAGGAUUAGAUACCCUGGUAGUCCACGCCGUAAACGAUGCUAACUCGUUUUUGGGCUUUUGGGUUCAGAGACUAAGCGAAAGUGAUAAGUUAGCCACCUGGGGAGUACGAACGCAAGUUUGAAACUCAAAGGAAUUGACGGGGGCCCGCACAAGCGGUGGAUUAUGUGGUUUAAUUCGAUGAUACGCGAGGAACCUUACCAAGGCUUAAAUGGGAAAUGACAGGCUUAGAAAUAGGCUUUUCUUCGGACAUUUUUCAAGGUGCUGCAUGGUUGUCGUCAGCUCGUGCCGUGAGGUGUUAGGUUAAGUCCUGCAACGAGCGCAACCCCUGUCACUAGUUGCCAUCAUUAAGUUGGGGACUCUAGUGAGACUGCCUACGCAAGUAGAGAGGAAGGUGGGGAUGACGUCAAAUCAUCACGGCCCUUACGCCUUGGGCCACACACGUAAUACAAUGGCCGGUACAGAGGGCAGCUACACUGCGAAGUGAUGCAAAUCUCGAAAGCCGGUCUCAGUUCGGAUUGGAGUCUGCAACUCGACUCUAUGAAGCUGGAAUCGCUAGUAAUCGCGCAUCAGCCAUGGCGCGGUGAAUACGUUCCCGGGCCUUGUACACACCGCCCGUCAAGCCAUGGAAGUCUGGGGUACCUGAAGUCGG